GCAUAUCAAUAAGCGGAGGAAAAGAAACUAACAAGGAUUCCCCUAGUAACUGCGAGUGAAGCGGGAAAAGCUCAAAUUUAAAAUCUGGCGGUCUUUGGCCGUCCGAGUUGUAAUCUAGAGAAGUGUUAUCCGCGCUGGACCGUGUACAAGUCUCCUGGAAUGGAGCGUCAUAGAGGGUGAGAAUCCCGUCUUUGACACGGACUGCCAGGGCUUUGUGAUGCGCUCUCAAAGAGUCGAGUUGUUUGGGAAUGCAGCUCAAAAUGGGUGGUAAAUUCCAUCUAAAGCUAAAUAUUGGCGAGAGACCGAUAGCGAACAAGUACCGUGAGGGAAAGAUGAAAAGAACUUUGGAAAGAGAGUUAAACAGUACGUGAAAUUGCUGAAAGGGAAACGCUUGAAGUCAGUCGCAUUGUGUGGGAAUCAACCUUGCUUUUGCUGGGCGUACUUUCCAUAUGAUGGGUCAGCAUCAAUUUUGACCGUUGGAUAAAGUCUAAAGGAAUGUGGCAUCUUCGGAUGUGUUAUAGCCUUUGGUCGCAUACAACGAUUGGGAUUGAGGAACUCAGCACGCCGAAAGGCCGGGUCUUGUACCACGUUCGUGCUUAGGAUGCUGGCAUAAUGGCUUUAAUCGACCCGUCUUGAAACACGGACCAAGGAGUCUAACAUGCCUGCGAGUAUUUGGGUGGAAAACCCGAGUGCGCAAUGAAAGUGAAAGUUGAGAUCCUUGUCAUGGGGAGCAUCGACGCCCGGACCAGACCUUUUGUGACGGAUCUGCGGUAGAGCAUGUAUGUUGGGACCCGAAAGAUGGUGAACUAUGCCUGAAUAGGGUGAAGCCAGAGGAAACUCUGGUGGAGGCUCGUAGCGAUUCUGACGUGCAAAUCGAUCGUCAAAUUUGGGUAUAGGGGCGAAAGACUAAUCGA
rnacentral:rRNA from 1 species